rnacentral:tRNA from 1 species
UUGAAGGCUUUAAGUU